GAGAAUCAAAGACAUUCCGAACCAUAUCACCACGAUUAAUAGCAUCAUCUGGUGACAAAAGGGAUGACUCAUUAUUGGCGCAACGGAUCAGCCUGGCUGUCCAGCGCGGAAAUGCAGACAGUAUUCUUGGCACCAUUCCACGCGGACAUAAUU